CGAGAAGAAUUCUUUUACUGCGUAUCCUCCAAGGCGUUGCAUCGUGCUCUCAAUUCUCAAGAAUAAUUAAGUCGUAAGUUAUGGAGAGAGGGUAUUGAUCGGGAACCAUAACCGGAGGCUCAAGUAACAACAGAUAAGUGUUAAUUUAAAUUAAUUUAAACAUCUUAAAAUAAUCUAAACAUUACAAUUCCAAUAAGAAAAGUAUAUACCGUGUGUGCUAAUUUCUUUUUCCAAGAUCUAAACCUUAAUUAAUAUCUCUUCAUGGAAUCUAUGAUGAGAUUCUUAUAGGAGGAUUCACGACUUGAAUUUGUGGGAUAUUGAAAACGUAAAAGUACCUCGAGACUAUGAUCACGUACGUAGUCAUGCGGCUUUUUUUUUCUCUCAGCAAGGGCUUGACCCAUUGAUAGCCGAAGUUGUGAUAGGGAGAAAUAGGCAGAGGAUAUGGUCGGAGGAUCUCACUCAUGGCAAUUUAUUGGUUGUGUGUGAGUAGACUGGAGCUAACGAGUCUAGGCUAAACUCAGAUGGUCUUAGCGGUGCUCAUAUACAAGCAAACGCUCAUCGUGAUGACCAGACAGGGGUUUUGAUGAAGAUUUUUGCAAAAUAAAUUAAUACAAAUGAUUUUGUACUAUUCUCGUUCAUCCUUCUCAUCAUUCCACUUCUGAUUGUUUAUACGGUGCUCCGAACAACAUAUGUUUUGAAUUGUAAACCAUCUUUGUAAUUGGUCAUAACGCUUAUAUGGGUACCUUAAGUCAAUCUCAGUGUAAAUAAUCAACUUCUGAACAAGAUCGGGUAUAAUAAUAUA